GACGAACGCUGGCGGCGUGCCUAAUACAUGCAAGUAGAACGCAGUUGCGAACGGGUGAGUAACGCGUAGGUAACUGCCUCAUAGCUGGGGAGAACCAUUGGAAACCAAAGCUAAUACCGCAUACUGUGAGCUAGACCUGCGUUGUAUUAGCUAGUUGGUGAGGUAAAGGCUCACCAAGGCGACGAUACCUAGCCGAGCUGGGAGGGGUAUAGAGCACAAUGGGAAGGAGACACGGCCCAGACUCCUACGGGAGGCAGCGGUAGGGAAUCUUCGGCAAUGGAGGGAAGUCUGACCGAGCAACGCCGCGUGAGGUAAGAAGGUUUUCGGAGCGUAAAGCUCUGUUGUUAGAGAAGCGGUAACUGACCAGAAAGGGACGGCUAACUACGUGCCAGCCGCCGCGGUAAUAC
rnacentral:rRNA from 1 species